CACAGAGGCGGGCUCCCGGUUCUUGCACAGAAACGUUCAAUAUUUUCAAAAGUUAGAGAGACAUAGAUUUCAUUUCUGUCCUUGGUACCUUAACUCUUAUGAUGUGUGUAGCUUAUUGUUGAAGUCUAAAAGACUUGGUCACUGAGGUCUGAGCUCAGGGCAGGCAGCCCACUAAUGAUUUAAGAUCAGCACUCUCUGUAGAGGAAAGCAUGAGCGGAAACGGGGGUUAUCAGGGCAAAGCACACCCAGAUGCCUUAACAAAACGGCAGAAAUGGAUCCUUCCCUCUUCCGUGGGCUGCCGGCUUGUUUUCUGUCAGUGUGCGUUUCACACUCAAAUACAUGUGAGCUCUCCGCCUUUUAUUUUCAGUUGUCCCCAAGUCUCCUAACCGAAAGCCUCUCUUCCCUGACCAGGCUCGCUGGCUACGAGCCCAGAGCGCGCUGCCAGGGUCUAGGAAGCUGCCCUUCCGGAAGGGUGGUGGAGACCCUGGGAACCAGACCAGCCGGGCUCACAAGUAUGAAGAGAAUGUCGGGAGAGGAAGUGGUGGCUCUGAGUCGGCGUGACUCAUCUGGUUCCAGUGACAAUGAAGGCCGAGGUGUGUGCCUUGUUCUUGUCUUUUUUUUUUUUUUUUUCCUGAAUCAUGUGGACAUCUCUGAGAAUGAGAGGACGCAGUGGCGUUACAGUGGCUGCUUUUUAAAGUUUCAAAGUGACUUUCUGGGCAAGCUGUGCACGUCUUGGGGAUCUUCACAGCACAGUGGCUGGAAAGGAGGAGCCCCGUCCGUCCAUCAGAGUCUCCCUGAAUAACUGGGAGCUGAAACAGGAAACCCCAUGACACAGUUGAUCGAAAAUGACACAGACACAGAAAAAUCAGGACGCGCCCCCAGCAGCUCCUCUACCUGCUGAUCGCAGCUGGAGGCAGGUGCAGGGUUUCCUUCUGGGAAUGGACUGUAACUACUGGGGGGCGCUCGGGUGGACCCCCAUGCCCUCUGCUGAUGGGCCUGCAGUAUUUUGGUGAUGGUCAUCUUCAGUUGGUCUCUCAUUUAUUGGGCCCUCUCUCAUGUCUUAAUCCUUCCUUCAUUAAAAGCAAAACUAAAGAAAA